AUCCAGCUGACGAGUCCCAAAUAGGACGAAGUGAUGGGCGUCCUGGAU
rfam:Schistosoma mansoni, Puerto Rico, WGS project CABG01000000 data, contig: 0270